rnacentral:rRNA from 1 species
CUACGGGGCGCAGCAGUAGGGAAUCUUGCGCAAUGGGCGAAAGCCUGACGCAGCGACGCCGCGUGAGCGAUGAAGGCCUUCGGGUUGUAAAGCUCUGUGGGGAGAGAAGAAUAAGGGCAAGCUAAUACCUUGUCCGAUGACGGUAUCUCCUUAGCAAGCACCGGCUAACUCUGUGCCAGCAGCCGCGGUGAGACAGAGGGUGCAAACGUUGUUCGGAAUUACUGGGCGUAAAGCGCGUGUAGGCGGCUAUGCAAGUCGGGCGUGAAAGCCCACGGCUCAACCGUGGAAGUGCACUCGAAACUGCGUAGCUAGAGUCCUGGAGAGGAAGGUGGAAUACUUGGUGUAGAGGUGAAAUUCGUAGAUAUCAAGUGGAACACCGGCGGCGAAGGCGGCCUUCUGGACAGUGACUGACGCUGAGACGCGAAAGCGUGGGGAGCAAACAGGAUUAGAUACCCUUGUAGUC